rnacentral:rRNA from 1 species
UUGUUAAUUUAUUACUUAUGUUUUUAUUGUUAUCUUUUUAGUGGAAGUAUCUUAUUUUUUAGUAAUUUAUAUUGAAUUGAUUUUUUAUUGUUAUAGUUUAUAUGAACUGUGAAGGUUUAAUUUUAUAUGUUAUAAGUAGAUUUUUGUUGUACCUUUUGCAUCAGGGUUUAUUUAAAUUUUAAUAAUUAUUUUUAUUUUUCCCGAAAUUUUACGAGAUAGUUUAUAGUGAGGGUUCAUGUAACAAAAUGAUCUUUAAUUAUAAUUUAGUAAUGAUAUGUUAUUCAUGUUUAAUGAUAUCUGGUUCUUUAAGAAUUGCAUUUAAUGCAGGAAUUUAAUUUUUAGUUUAAUUUUAUUAAUAGUGUAAAUUCUUAGUCUUGGGGGGAUUAGCUCCUAUUAGGCUUUUUAUAAAUGUUUGAUUUAAUUGGAAUUGUUAGGCUUAGUAAUGGCCAUUUUAAUUUUUUAUAAUUAAUUCUUAAUUAUUUUUUAUUUAUUCUUUGUUUUAAUUUUGUAUUGAGGGGUAUUUUUUAAUAUAUUUAUUAUAGUAAUAAUGAUAGAAUUAGUAUUUUUUAUAAUUAAUCUUUAGGAACUCGGCAAUUUUAAUCUUCGCCUGUUUAACAAAAACAUGGUCUGUAGAGUAUUUAUUUCAGAUCUGACCUGCCCUAUGAUUUAUUUUAAAUGGCCGCAGUAUACUGACUGUGCAAAGGUAGCAUAAUCAAUUGUCUUUUAAUUGAAGGCUUGUAUGAAUGGUUGGACGAGGGAUUGACUUUCUUAGGAUUAUAUGAUGAAUUUAAUUUUUAGGUUAAAAAGCUUAAAUAUAUUUGUGGGACGAGAAGACCCUAUAGAAUUUUAUUUAAUUAUUAAUUAUAUUUUUGAUUUUAGUUAACAUGUAAUUAAUAAUUAAGGUUUGUUGGGGUGACAGAUUUUUUUCAUUAAUUUAUGUUUUAUUGAUCCAUUUUUUUUAUGAUUAAAAGAUUUAAUUACCUUAGGGAUAACAGCGUAAUUUUCCUGGAGAGUUCUUAUCGAUGGGAAAGAUUGCGACCUCGAUGUUGGAUUAAAGUUAGUUAUAGGUGCAGGAGCUUAUUUACUUGGUCUGUUCGACCAUUAAUUCUUUACAUGAUCUGAGUUCAAACCGGCGUGAGCCAGGUUGGUUUCUAUCUACAUACAUGAUUAGGUUGCCUUAGUACGAAAGGACUUGGUGAUCGAAAUAAUUUCUGUUAUAU